rnacentral:rRNA from 1 species
GAAGGGGACCAGCCCAGCGCAUAACCUCGUGGUCCGUAGCCGGCCGUCGAGGGGUGUUGCGUUUCGGUGGAUCCGUACCGCUCGAGCUGCUCACCGCCUAAGUCAUUGCUUGAAUGCAGCCCCAAGGAGGGUGGUAGGCCCGUGUGGCGGCGCCUGUAAAAAGGUCCGAGGCAGCUUGGGCGGAGGGGUCUUUACCGUAGAGUCGGGUUGCUUAGUACUGCAGCCCUAAGUAGGUGGUAAACUCCAUCUAAGGCUAAAUACAACCACGAGUCCGAUAUUUGACAAGUACCGUGAGGGAAAGCUGAAAAGGACUCUGAAGAGAGAGUUCAAGAGGACGUGAAACCAUUAGAAGCUCAAACGGGUGGAACCGUGAAGGUCGAAAGAGGGGAUUCAGCCGGCCGGUCUUGGGCGGCGGGUGCGGUACAAGAUUAUUUCAGUGUGAGGACCCGGCGUAAACGUGUGUUGCCGUGGCCCCGUGCCUGCCGACCUGAGCCCUGUCGGCUUAGUUCUCCCUCGAGUAGUGGUCGUCGCGACCCGCUGGGCGGGCCCCGAGGGCCGCGCCGGACUGGUAGCCUGCACUUUGUUGGAGGCGAUGACCGGCUGCGGUACUGACUGGGCUUGCCCGGCGGUCACUGCAAGGAGGCCGCCUCGCGCGGCCUCUCGCGACGUGAAAGGGAUUGGUAAUCCACCCGACCCGUCUUGAAACACGGACCAAGGAGUCCAACAUGUGCGCGAGUCUAAGGGUGUACUAAAUCCGAAGGCGAAAUGAAAGUGAGCCCCUUGUGGGCAGGCCGAUCCCCUGUCGGCUCGGGGGCCGGAGGCCUUGCGGCGUGAGUUAAUUUCCGCUGUUCGUGCCGUCGGUCGCUGGGUUGGCGGCCGGUUCCUUUCGGGGAGCCGGAGAUGGGGCGCAGGCCGAGGACUUGCCAUUGUGCGGCGCGGGGAACGGGGUUUCGGCCUUUAUCCCGACGUCCGUCGGCAAGUACCUGAGAGCGCAGCCGUUGGGACCCGAAAGAUGGUGAACUAUGCCUGGCGAGGACGAAGCCAGAGGAA